rnacentral:lncRNA from 1 species
GAUCGACCAAGCUGAGGAGCCUACUCAAGCACCUUCUACGUCAAUGCGAGGUCUAAAGUACUGCGUUGACGUCGGAUUCCGAUGCACUUUCCGGAAAUGCUGCCCACCUUAUGGAUGUGCACCCCCAAUAUAUAGGUGCAUAGUGCCGUAGCCCGUGUUCAAUGAAAUGGAAGUGAUGUGUUGAAUACGGAACAGGCCUCAAAACUUGGCGAAUAAACUGUCACAAGGAGCCUCAAAAUAACAUACAUGACACGGCUUUACAUCACACAUUCAA